UACGUAGGGUGCAAGCGUUGUCCGGAAUUAUUGGGCGUAAAGAGCUCGUAGGCGGUUUGUCGCGUCGGUUGUGAAAGCCCGGGGCUUAACCCUGGGUCUGCAGUCGAUACGGGCAGGCUAGAGUUCGGUAGGGGAGACUGGAAUUCCUGGUGUAGCGGUGAAAUGCGCAGAUAUCAGGAAGAACACCAAUGGCGAAAGCAGCUUUCUGGGACGGUACUGACGCUGAGACGCGAAAGCGUGGGGAGCGAACAGG
rnacentral:rRNA from 1 species